CAGCCAUCUAUUUUCAGCCUGAGCUUUUACAGGAAAUAUUCUAGUUUCGUCUCUUUUGCUCAGUUCCAUGAUUUCAAUAAAGGGAACUUCAACAAAGUUAGCGAACGGUGCUUAUGAUGAGCUACAUGAUUACGCUCACGACGCAGACCUUGACCCACAACACUGAAGCAGCACUUCAAGACCAUGUAUACCAAUGGCACGGGAGGAAAUAACACAGUCAGUGACAGUUCCUCCAACUCUUCUACAAAUCUAGGAGUCGGGCUUGGGGUCUUCUUUUUGCUGCUUGCGAUCAUAGUUGGUGUAAUCAUUUAUAAAUUCUACGGUAUAAUCGCCAAUGUGAUGCUGUUUAGACAAAGAACAGCGCAAGAAAAGGAGGAUCACUCAGAGACCCCACAAGCAGAUUCCCAUGAAUAUACUGGUAUGAUUCGAGAGCAGUCGAUAGGACAAUCUUCUAUCUAUGAAAACCUGAAACCUCAAACUCGUGGCUACAGCAUGGAAGCUUCAAACCAAAGCAGGUUCCCAGUCGAAUCUGAUGACGACGUGUACCUGCAGUGCGACGUCAUAGAUGAGGCCAUAUACAUUAAUGACCAAUCACAUGACUGUCAAGAAGAAGACGUGUACGUUUUGCCAGAUUAAUCACGGGGCACAUUUGUAGAAAGGCCUGCGCAUUUUGCUCCACUUGUUGUAUGCAGCAAGCUGUCUCUUUUGAUUUCUGUCUCUGUUUUUGUAUAACGAUGUACAGCUAAAAGUCAGCACACUGCUACUGCUGCUUUUUGAUACAGACUGACUGUAAACAGAAAUGACUGGAUGGUAGCAACAUGUCAGUGUUAUCUGUUAUCUCCCAUUUUGGAGGAGAGUAACAAACCUUUUUUUUUUUUUUUAAAUUUAAUCCACUCCCUCCUGGUACGAUUAUCUAUGUUACACAUCUUUGAUUGCUACUAUUAUUGGCACAUCUCAUAUUACAACCACGCUGGAAAACACUGUACAAAUUUUGACAGCAGUCCAAGGUAAUCAAGUUUGUGAUUAGAUUAGAUUGUUUUAUGGUGUUCUCUUGUAGUUACAGAUGAGGCUUUACUUUGACCUUUGGAGAGAAGUGUGGGCAGUCUAUCUGAGGUUUUGUGAGUCGUGUGUGUUCAGUAUUGUCCUUUUUCUCUCACUGGAAAUUCUUCACUUGGUCCUAAAUCAAAUCUAGAAACAUUUAACUUGGGUAGAUAUUGACAUCGUGUUAUGUUUUUAGUAUUUUGCUAAACAAUGCGUCCAAAAUAAAUCCACGGUUUUAAAAACCAAACUACAGAUAUGGAUAUGGACACACAUAUCUUUGGAAUUCCCCUUUUUGUGCAAAAACGUUUAACUACACACUGAAUCUUUCAGAUACCUUCAUAUGAGAAAGAAUGAAGUGCAGUUUCAACAGUACAUCUCAGUUUUUCUGCUGGAGUAAAGAAAAAAAUAUACUAACAUGAAGAAACAAAUGUGUAAAAUUACCGAAAAGGUUCUGGCAGAUUAUUGCAAAGACUGUCCUGCAAUAAUAAAGCAA